rnacentral:lncRNA from 1 species
AUUUCGAUUAUUCUCCUCGAUGGAUUCUAUGUUAAAACAUACAUUGCUAACACUAGAAAACUUUCUGCUUCUUUCUAUUGAGAUGAAAAAGGAGAAAAAGUAGAUUUCUAGGGCUGCAAAAUUCAUAAAAAAUGGGAACCAUUAACUAGAAUUCUCUUUUUUUUAUUUGCAGUAGUAAACGAGUCUUAAAUGUGUAUCUUCCCCCCUCUUCCUUUUAAAGGCAUAAUAAAAGAUUCUUUUUUUAUACCUAAUCCAUGUAUAGGUAAACUCCAGGUCCGAACAGCAUUAUUAUCCAAAGAUCCCCUUUAUGUACAU